rnacentral:rRNA from 1 species
AACGAACGCUGGCGGCAUGCCUAACACAUGCAAGUCGAACGAGACCUUCGGGUCUAGUGUCGCACGGGUGCGUAACGCGUGGGAACCUUCCCUUAGGUUCGGAAUAACUCCCCGAAAGGGGUGCUAAUACCGGAUAAUGUCUUCUGACCAAAGAUUUAUCGCCUUUGGAUGGGCCGUCGUUGGAUUAGCUAGUUGGUAGGGUAAAAGCCUACCAAGGCGACGAUCCAUAGAUGGUCUGAGAGGAUGAUCAGCCACACUGGGAGUGAGACACGGCCCAGAAUCCUACGGGAGGCAGGAGUGGGGAAUAUUGGAAAAUGGGCGAAAGCAUGAUCCAGCAAUGCCGCGUGAGUGAUGAAGGCCUUAGGGUUGUAAAGCUCUUUUAACCGGGAUGAUAAUGACAGUACCGAGAGAAUAAGCCCCGGCUAACUCCGUG